GCUGGGCUAGCUCAGUUGGUAGAGCACGAGCCUCUCAAUCUCAGGAUCGUGGCUUCAAGCCCCACGUUGGGCA